AAUGCACACGUACAACAUCGCUCCGAGAAGAAACACUUCAACUGCAAUUCACCAAAUUCAUCAUUUCAUUUCCACGGUCAUUCCCCAGAUGAACAAUACAGGGUUUGACUGGUGAAGCAAUGCUAGGCACCAGGUUUUCUCUGUUCGGUAGUGGCGGUGGCGGAUCAAACAAAGUGGUGGAUAGUUCCAGAGACUGUGAAGUCUUGCCGAGGCUGAAACUACAAACAGAUAAAAAUGUGUACAGGCCUGGCGACGCCCUUUAUAUCACGAUCGAGAUCGGCAACCCGCUAAGUGAUAAUGCUUCUCUCUCCUCGUUAUUGAUUGAAAGCCUUGCACUGGAAAUCAAAGGGAUUGAGAAGUUGGAUACUCAGUGGUUCGCCACUCAGAAGCCACUUCCGAGAUCAAAACAGAGAAGAGGCGAACGUGUUUUCUUGGACAGUUCAGCUCCAUCAUUGAUUUCAAAUCAGAUUGUGUCAUCGGGUGCCACAAAAUUGUAUGUUGUCCGAACAGAGUUGCCAAGCGUUAUACCACCAUCUUAUCGAGGUACCACCAUUUGCUACAUGUAUUAUGUUAAGAGUUCACUAUUUGGACGGUGGCUGAUAUCGGAAAAUGGGAACACCCAUAGAGAGUCAAUAAAAGAUGUUACUGAAGUGGAAGCUCGUAUACCUUUACAAAUUUGGGUCACUCAGGAAAACAAUGGCUUGCUAAUGGAAGAAGGUCAACAUGAAGGGGUUGUUCCUGAUACAACCAUCCAACUGGAUAUAUAUUGGAAAGAGAUGGAUAGAGACUCUGAAUGGGCUAGAGCAAAUGAGAUUUAUGAUGGAGCUGAGGAAGGCUAUGCAAGCUCCAGAGAUGAGAUCUCAUCUGUUUCUUCCUACAACCCCAGUAAAGAAAGUAUGCUUAAAACUUUCGGAAGUCCAUUGUCCUUGCAAUCAUCUACCGCAAAAUCUUUGGCCAAGGAUAUUCCAAAUCUGAAUGAACAUCCAAGUUUAUCUUCAAAUGCAGCUCUUCCUCAAUUGUCAGCAGCAGAGAUGUUGUAUGAUUCUAGUACAGAUAUCAUGUCAUCAAGUGAACAACAGAAGCUUACAGAAUCCCUAUCUGCUGAUGGUGUCUCAGGAUUAUCAGCUUCACCUCGAUUACGAGCCAUUGAGCCUGCAGCAUCAGAAGGCUUUUUUCGAGGAAGGUCUUAUAACAUCAAGAUGGAUGGCCAAGUUCUGCUAAGAUUUUCUCCAAAGAACUCUGACUCGACUUAUUACUUCAGUGAUAUGAUAGGUGGAACUCUUACUUUCUUUCAUGAAGAAGGAGCCAGGAGAUGCCUUGAGGUUUCAAUAACAUUGGAAACCUCAGAGACCAUAAGCCAGCGCUUUGUUCAUCCUUCUCGAAGAAAUGCCCCUACAAUCACGAAGAUCCAGAGUGAUCACUAUGAAGUUGUUGCGGACUUGGUGCAGACAAGCUUUCUCUUUUCUAUUCCAAUGGAUGGGCCCAUGUCCUUUUCCACUCCUCACGUCUCUGUGCAAUGGGUUCUACGGUUUGAAUUUCUUACCACUCCAAAGCAUGUAAACUGGUCGAGAUAUGAGCAUCCUCUUCUUAUAGAAGGUAGAGAUAAAACUGAGUGGAUUCUUCCUAUAACGGUGCAUGCACCUUCCCCUGGGGCUGCGGCUGCCUUCAAGAAGCCUUUCUCUGUGGGGCCUUUAUGGGUGCCCACUUGAAGGUGAAAGUAAAUCUUUGAUCUUAAAAUUAUGACUUUGUAAGAGCGAUUUAUAGAAUAACUUACUUUGUGAAAUUUACAUACUUGAAAUUAAUUAGCUAUGUGAUGCUUGUGCUCUGGGUUAUGCUUUCUUGAAACACUGAGUAAUGAGAUUGCUUUGAUGUUUACUUUUCGUGUUGAGUAAUAGUAGAUGUUUUAGAGAAAGCUGCGAGGGAGAAUCAGAGAGAACAAUAGUGGUGCUAUUUCUGAGGGAGUAAUAAAUGGGAGAAUAUAGUCCAUGAAAAUCUGGGAAAGCAAACUUCUCUUGGAAAUGACCCCAGCGGUAAAAUGCUGAAGAUGAAAUUCUUGUAAACUGACAAAUUCAAUGGGUCCUGUAUUUGUUGAAUAAUCUGGUGUGACUGCUUGUAUCUGUUUGCAGAUUCAGUUAUGUAUCUGUACAUGGUUAGUCUUCAUUCUUAAAAAAUUCUCUAUUUUUCUUUUUAAAUAUUUUUAUACAAAUAACUUUAUUAACAUUA